rnacentral:rRNA from 1 species
CUACGGGUCGCACCAGUGGGGAAUUUUGCGCAAUGGGGGAAACCCUGACGCAGCAAUACCGCGUGAGUGAAGAAGGCCUUCGGGUCGUAAAGCUCUUUUCUUGGGGAAGAUAGUGACGGUACCCAAGGAAUAAGCACCGGCUAACUCCGUGCCAGCAGCCGCGGUAAUACGGAGGGUGCAAGCGUUGUUCGGAUUUACUGGGCGUAAAGGGCACGUAGGCGGCACAGCAAGUUAAGGGUGAAAUCCCGGGGCUCAACUCCGGAACUGCUCUUAAAACUGCUGAGCUAGAGAUAGUCAGAGGCGGGUGGAAUUCCAGGUGUAGAGGUGAAAUUCGUAGAUAUCUGGAGGAACACCGGUGGCGAAGGCGGCCCGCUGGGGCUAUUCUGACGCUAAGGUGCGAAAGCGUGGGGAGCAAACGGGAUUAGAUACCCGAGUAGUC